UAGAGGAUGGUCCAAUACCAGUAAGGCAACAGGACCAGAUUUUCACUUUAAAGGAAUUAACAAAAUAAAAAUGCCUGGCCACUUUCAAAGCUUACUAGUCUUGACCUAAACGUAAAUGACUGAGGCACGUCUUCAUUUUAUCUAGAAAUUAAUUUAUUUUUCUGCACUGCUGCAAGCUGAUUUUGAGCACAAAUGGAUUUCAUUU
rnacentral:lncRNA from 1 species